UACAGAGGGGGCAAGCGUUGUUCGGAAUUACUGGGCGUAAAGGGCGCGUAGGCGGCCUGUUAAGUCGAACGUGAAAUCCCCGGGCUCAACCCGGGAACUGCGUCCGAUACUGGCAGGCUUGAAUCCGGGAGAGGGAUGCGGAAUUCCAGGUGUAGCGGUGAAAUGCGUAGAUAUCUGGAGGAACACCGGUGGCGAAGGCGGCAUCCUGGACCGGCAUUGACGCUGAGGCGCGAAAGCGUGGGGGAGCAAACAGG
rnacentral:rRNA from 1 species